CAAUUUAAUUUCACAAAAUAGGUGCUACUAUAUUUAUUUUAUAAACAGGAAACUGAUGCAAGAGAAGUUAAAUAACCAAAAGUUAUCAAGCAGAAGAAUUGACAUUUGAAUUCAAGCAGCAAGUGCACCUCAACUCUUGGAAUCACACAGUGAAGACACUCAACUUUCAAGAAACUAGAAGGUCUCCCAGUUUCACUGUUACCCAGAUGAAUUUCAUUGUUUAAAUUGGGGGGAGAUUAAUAAGCAUUUGUGUUUUUUUUAAUUCAUUAAAUUUAUUGGUACCUUUUGGGUAUAUAAUAUGAUGUCAUUCUUCCCUGGAAAAUUGUACCCUUACAUGAUAUAUCUUGGCUCUUUUUUCCCCAUAGUCC
rnacentral:lncRNA from 1 species